rnacentral:rRNA from 1 species
UUAACAUGUAAAUUUAAUUGUUAAUCUAAAGGGGUACAGCCCUUUAGACUAAGGAUACAACCUUAAUUAGAGAGUAAAUAUGAUUAAACACCAUAGUUGGCCUAAAAGCAGCCAUCAAUUAAGAAAGCGUUCAAGCUCAACAACUACCUCCCUCUUAAUUUAAUAAAUUAAAAUUAACUCCUACAACCACACUGGACCAAUCUAUAAUAUUAUAGAAGAAAUACUGUUAAUAUGAGUAACAAGAUUAUUAUCUCCAAGCGCAAGUUUAUAUCAGAUCAAAUAAUAACUGAUAAUUAACAGCUGAUUAAAUAAAACCCAAAAAUUAAUUAUUUAACCACUAGCCUGUUAACCCGACACAGGAGCGCACAACUUAUAAAGGAAAGAUUAAAAGAAGUAAAAGGAACUCGGCAAACACAAACCCCGCCUGUUUACCAAAAACAUCACCUCUAGCAUUUCUAGUAUUAGAGGCACUGCCUGCCCAGUGACAACUGUUAAACGGCCGCGGUAUCCUGACCGUGCAAAGGUAGCAUAAUCAUUUGUUCCUUAAAUAGGGACUUGUAUGAAUGGCCACACGAGGGUUUAACUGUCUCUUACUUCCAAUCAGUGAAAUUGACCUCUCCGUGAAGAGGCGGAAAUAAAUGAAUAAGACGAGAAGACCCUAUGGAGCUUUAAUUUACUUAAUUCAACAGGAAUUAAUUUAUUACCCACCAGGAAUAAUAAACACCCUGUGUGAAUUAAAAAUUUUGGUUGGGGUGACCUCGGAGUACAAACAAACCUCCGAGAUAUUUAUACCAAGACCCACAAGUCAAAGUAACUAAUACAACUGAUCCAGUCUAACUGAUCAACGGAACAAGUUACCCUAGGGAUAACAGCGCAAUCCUAUUCAAGAGUCCAUAUCGACAAUAGGGUUUACGACCUCGAUGUUGGAUCAGGACAUCCCAAUGGUGCAGCAGCUAUUAAUGGUUCGUUU